CGGUGUUUAACUGGCGUGAUGUGGGACGUCCUACCGGUGGGCUUAGCCUCGCGAGGGGCGGCCCAACUAAUAUCCCGUCGCGGUGCUCUUUACUGAGUGUCGAGUCGGGCCGGUACGUUUACUUUGAACAAAUUAGAGUGCUUAAAGCAGGCUAUCCUCGCCUGAAUACUGCGUGCAUGGAAUAAUGGAAUAGGACCUCGGUUCUAUUUUGUUGGUUUUCGGAACCCCGAGGUAAUGAUUAAUAGGGACAGAUGGGGGCAUUCGUAUUGCGACGUUAGAGGUGAAAUUCUUGGAUCGUCGCAAGACGGACAGAAGCGAAAGCAUUUGCCAAAAAUGUUUUCAUUAAUCAAGAACGAAAGUUAGAGGUUCGAAGGCGAUCAGAUACCGCCCUAGUUCUAACCAUAAACGAUGCCAGCUAGCGAUCCGCCGAAGUUCCUCCGAUGACUCGGCGGGCAGCUUCCGGGAAACCAAAGCUUUUGGGCUCCGGGGGAAGUAUGGUUGCAAAGCUGAAACUUAAAGGAAUUGACGGAAGGGCACCACCAGGAGUGGAGCCUGCGGCUUAAUUUGACUCAACACGGGAAACCUCACCAGGCCCAGACACCGGAAGGAUUGACAGAUUGAUAGCUCUUUCUUGAUUCGGUGGGUGGUGGUGCAUGGCCGUUCUUAGUUGGUGGAGCGAUUUGUCUGGUUAAUUCCGAUAACGAACGAGACUCUAGCCUGCUAAAUAGGCGUACCUUAUGGUAUCGCGAAGGCCCCCGGCUUCGGCCGGUGGGUUUUUACUACCAACGUACAAACAAAUCUUCUUAGAGGGACAGGCGG
rnacentral:rRNA from 1 species